rnacentral:rRNA from 1 species
GAUGAACGCUGGCGGCGUGCCUAAUACAUGCAGGUCGAGCGAACAGACGAGGGGCUUGCUCCUCUGACGUUAGCGGCGGACGGGUGAGUAACACGUGGAUAACCUACCUAUAAGACUGGGAUAACUUCGGGAAACCGGAGCUAAUACCGGAUAAUAUAUUGAACCGCAUGGUUCAAUAGUGAAAGACGGUUUUGCUGUCACUUAUAGAUGGAUCCGCGCCGCAUUAGCUAGUUGGUAAGGUAACGGCUUACCAAGGCAACGAUGCGUAGCCGACCUGAGAGGGUGAUCGGCCACACUGGAACUGAGACACGGUCCAGACUCCUACGGGAGGCAGCAGUAGGGAAUCUUCCGCAAUGGGCGAAAGCCUGACGGAGCAACGCCGCGUGAGUGAUGAAGGUCUUCGGAUCGUAAAACUCUGUUAUUAGGGAAGAACAAAUGUGUAAGUAACUAUGCACGUCUUGACGGUACCUAAUCAGAAAGCCACGGCUAACUACGUG